GACGAACGCUGGCGGCGUGCCUAAUACAUGCAAGUCGAGCGGACAGAAGGGAGCUUGCUCCCGGAAGUUAGCGGCGGACGGGUGAGUAACACGUGGGCAACCUACCCUGUAGAUCGGGAUAACAUCGAGAAAUCGGUGCUAAUACCGGAUAAUCAUUUGAAGUGCAUGCUUCGAAUGUAAAAGAUGGCUCCGGCUAUCACUACGGGAUGGGCCCGCGGCGCAUUAGCUAGUUGGUAAGGUAAUGGCUUACCAAGGCAACGAUGCGUAGCCGACCUGAGAGGGUGAUCGGCCACACUGGGACUGAGACACGGCCCAGACUCCUACGGGAGGCAGCAGUAGGGAAUCUUCCGCAAUGGACGAAAGUCUGACGGGGCAACGCCGCGUGAGUGAUGAAGGUUUUCGGAUCGUAAAGCUCUGUUGUUAGGGAAGAACAAGUGCCGUUUGAAUAAGGCGGCACCUUGACGGUACCUAACAAGAAAGCCACGGCUAACUACGUGCCAGCCGCCGCCGUAAUAC
rnacentral:rRNA from 1 species